rnacentral:rRNA from 1 species
GGUUCUGAUCUUCAUGGCUCAGGUCGAACGCUGGCGGUGCUUUACACAUGCAAGUCGAACGGCGACACGGACUUCGGUCUGGUGGCGAGUGGCGACGGGUGGAAGGUAAUGUCGGAACGUGCCUAGUAGCGGGGGGAUAACUACGCGAAAGCGUAGCUAAUACGCCACGCCACUUCAGGGAAAACCCAGAGGGGACCUUCAGACUCCGCACUAUGCGACAGCCGUGUCGGAUUCGCUAGUUGGUGGGAGUAACGGCUCACCGAGGCGACGAUCCGUAGCUGGUUUGAGAGGACAGCCAGCCACGCAGGACUGAGACGGCCCAGACUCCUACGGGAGGCAGCAGUGGGGGAAUUUUGGACAAUGGGGAAACCUGAUCCAGCCAUCCCGCGUGUGCGAUGAAGGCCUUCAGGUUGUAACGCCUGGCGGGGAAAGAAACGGCCUGGGAUAAUACCCCGUGCAACUGACAGUACCUGCAGAAUAAGCACCGGCUAGCUACGUGCCAGCAGCCGCGGUAAUACGUAGGGUGCAAGCGUUAAUCGGAAUUACUGGGCGUAAAGCGUGCACCGGGCGGUUCGGAAAGAAAGAUGUGAAAUCCCAGAGCUUAACUUUGGAACUGCAUUUUUAACUACCGAGCUAAGGUGUCAGAGGAGGUGGAAUUCCGCGUGUAGCAGUGAAAUGCGUAGAUAUGCGGAGGAACACCGAUGGCGAAGGCAGCCUCCUGGAUAUUACCCCAACGCUCUUUUUAAGCAUUAAGGAGCAAACAGGAUUGAGGUACUGGUAGUCCGCCUAAACGAUGUCAACUAUUUCAUUGCGUGGGACGUGGGCCUUGGUAGCGCAGCUAACGCGUGAAGUUGACCGCCUGGGAGUACGGUCGCAAGAUUAAAACUCAAAGGCUGACGGGACCGCACAACGGUGGAUGAUGUGGAUUAAUUCGAUGCAACGCGAAAAACCUUACCUACCCUUGACAUGUCCCCAGAUCCCGAAGAGAUUUGGGAGUGCUCGCAAGAGAACCGGAACACAGGUCUGCAUCAUGUCUAUUAGCUCGUGUCGUGAGAUGUUGAGAUUAGCGAUCCCACAUGAAGCACAACCCUUGUCAUUAGUUGCUACGAAGACUUUUCUAAUGAGACUGCCCGGUGACAAACCCGGAGGAAGAGGUGGGGAUGACGUCAAGUCCCUCAUGGCCCUUAUGGUGAAGACCGCACGUCAUACAAUGGUCGGGACAGGUGCUCAACCCGCGAGGGCGUGAUCCGGCCCGAUGUCGUCGGAUCAUGAUCUACUGGCAACUCGACUGCGUGAAGUGGAGAUCGCUAGUAAUCGCGGAUCAGCAUGUCGCGGUGAAUACGUUCCCGGGUCUUGUACACACCGCCCGUCACACCAUGGGAGUGGGUUUUACCAGAAGUAGUUAGCCUAACCGUAAGGAGGCGAUUACCACGGUAGGAUUCAUGACUGGGGUGAAGUCGUAACAAGGUAG